GACGAUUGGAACUCGAUCUUGGAACGCUUCUGACCAGAGUGGUGGCCGUGAUUCCUCGCGGUCGUUUUAGACCGUGUUGUUUCGCGCCGUUGCUUUUAUUACAUCGGGGAACGCGUCCCGUGUGACAAGUGCUCGUUGAUUUGUAACAGGAUAAUUGAAUGUUUUACACUUCUCAUUUUCUUCUCUUUCUUGUUCCCUUUCUUUCAACAAUGAAUGAAUUUAAAGUACUAUAUACUUCAUAAAAAUGUUGCCAUGAAACAAAUAUGA
rnacentral:misc_RNA from 1 species